CAGGCUUAACACAUGCAAGUCGAGGGGCAUCAGGAAGAAAGCUUGCUUUCUUUGCUGGCGACCGGCGCACGGGUGAGUAACACGUAUCCAACCUGCCCUUUACUCGGGGAUAGCCUUUCGAAAGAAAGAUUAAUACCCGAUAGCAUAAUGAUUCCGCAUGGUUUCAUUACUAAAGGAUUCCGGUAAAGGAUGGGGAUGCGUUCCAUUAGGUUGUUGGUGGGGUAACGGCCCACCAAGCCUUCGAUGGAUAGGGGUUCUGAGAGGAAGGUCCCCCACAUUGGAACUGAGACACGGUCCAAACUCCUACGGGAGGCAGCAGUGAGGAAUAUUGGUCAAUGGGCGCUAGCCUGAACCAGCCAAGUAGCGUGAAGGAUGAAGGCUCUAUGGGUCGUAAACUUCUUUUAUAUAAGAAUAAAGUGCAGUAUGUAUACUGUUUUGUAUGUAUUAUAUGAAUAAGGAUCGGCUAACUCCGUGCCAGCAGCCGCGGUAAUACGGAGGAUCCGAGCGUUAUCCGGAUUUAUUGGGUUUAAAGGGAGCGUAGGUGGACUGGUAAGUCAGUUGUGAAAGUUUGCGGCUCAACCGUAAAAUUGCAGUUGAUACUGUCAGUCUUGAGUACAGUAGAGGUGGGCGGAAUUCGUGGUGUAGCGGUGAAAUGCUUAGAUAUCACGAAGAACUCCGAUUGCGAAGGCAGCUCACUGGACUGCAACUGACACUGAUGCUCGAAAGUGUGGGUAUCAAACAGGAUUAGAUACCCUGGUAGUCCACACAGUAAACGAUGAAUACUCGCUGUUUGCGAUAUACAGUAAGCGGCCAAGCGAAAGCAUUAAGUAUUCCACCUGGGGAGUACGCCGGCAACGGUGAAACUCAAAGGAAUUGACGGGGGCCCGCACAAGCGGAGGAACAUGUGGUUUAAUUCGAUGAUACGCGAGGAACCUUACCCGGGCUUAAAUUGCAGUGGAAUGAUGUGGAAACAUGUCAGUGAGCAAUCACCGCUGUGAAGGUGCUGCAUGGUUGUCGUCAGCUCGUGCCGUGAGGUGUCGGCUUAAGUGCCAUAACGAGCGCAACCCUUAUCUUUAGUUACUAACAGGUCAUGCUGAGGACUCUAGAGAGACUGCCGUCGUAAGAUGUGAGGAAGGUGGGGAUGACGUCAAAUCAGCACGGCCCUUACGUCCGGGGCUACACACGUGUUACAAUGGGGGGUACAGAAGGCAGCUAGCGGGUGACCGUAUGCUAAUCCCAAAAGCCUCUCUCAGUUCGGAUCGAAGUCUGCAACCCGACUUCGUGAAGCUGGAUUCGCUAGUAAUCGCGCAUCAGCCACGGCGCGGUGAAUACGUUCCCGGGCCUUGUACACACCGCCCGUCAAGCCAUGGGAGCCGGGGGUACCUGAAGUACGUAACCGCAAGGAUCGUCCUAGGGUAAAACUGGUGACUGG
rnacentral:rRNA from 1 species